rnacentral:lncRNA from 1 species
GUGAAGUCUGGAAGACUUUAUCAACUAUCCCCAAAAUACUGUGCUGCUGCUAGGACGCCUGUGUUUGUGCAAAUACUGGAUACAAUCAUCUCAUUAAGUUUGAGUAGCAAGUAUUUAACCUCAAAUGAAGCCGCCUGCCUGCAGUGGAACAGAUGUAUGGUGUAAAAGAAUCUCAGUUGCCCAAUCAAGAUGAACAGAAUGGCUUUCUUCAACAAGAAAAUAGAACAUCCAUUUUUAGAAUUAUAUCUACAACAUGAAGCAUUUAGCAGUAGCUGUCUUUGAGAACAUUCAUCUAUGACCUGAAAUGUCCUGAUCCUGGGAAAAAAAAUGGGAUUCCAUUAAUUAAGUCUAUAAUUUUUAAAUGCAUUUUCAUCACUAAUUAUAUUUGCUUAUGCACAACACGGAAUUCAUAAACCAGAGAUUAUUUUAACACAUGCACACAUUUUGUUUUACAUUCAGUAUACAAGAUACAUCAUUUUAAUCAAAUUUUAAAUAAUCUUUUAAAUUAUCUAUAUUUAUUAAUAAAUGAAGUC